rnacentral:rRNA from 1 species
AACUUUCAACAACGGAUCUCUUGGUUCUGGCAUCGAUGAAGAACGCAGCGAAAUGCGAUAAGUAAUGUGAAUUGCAGAAUUCAGUGAAUCAUCGAAUCUUUGAACGCACAUUGCGCCCUGCAGUACUCUGCUGGGCAUGCCUGUUCGAGCGUCAU